GUGAGGAAUAUUGCGCAAUGGAGGCAACUCUGACGCAGCCAUGCCGCGUGCAGGAAGAAGGCGCUACGCGUUGUAAACUGCUUUUGAAUGGGAAGAACACUACCCUUGCGAGGGUAUUUGACGGUACUAUUAGAAUAAGCACCGGCUAACUCCGUGCCAGCAGCCGCGGUAAUACGGAGGGUGCAAGCGUUAUCCGGAUUUAUUGGGUUUAAAGGGUGCGUAGGCGGCUUUAUAAGUCUGGGGUUAAAGGCGGCAGCUUAACUGUACGCAUGCCUUGGAAACUGUGAGGCUUGAGUGACUUGGAGGUAGCUGGAAUUCCCUGUGUAGCGGUGAAAUGCAUAGAUACGGGGAGGAAUACCGAUUGCGAAGGCAUGUUACUACGAGUAAACUGACGCUGAUGCACGAAAGCGUGGGGAUCAAACAGGAUUAGAAACCCUGGUAGUCC
rnacentral:rRNA from 1 species